rnacentral:tRNA from 1 species
GGAGGUAUGCCGGAGCGGCCGAACGGGCGCGCCUGGAGAGCGCGUAGGUGGGGGAACCCGCCUCGAAGGUUCAAAUCCUUCUACCUCCGCCA